UACGUAGGGUGCAAGCGUUAAUCGGAAUUACUGGGCGUAAAGCGUGCGCAGGCGGCUUUGCAAGACAGAUGUGAAAUCCCCGGGCUCAACCUGGGAACUGCAUUUGUGACUGCAAGGCUGGAGUACGGCAGAGGGGGAUGGAAUUCCGCGUGUAGCAGUGAAAUGCGUAGAUAUGCGGAGGAACACCGAUGGCGAAGGCAACCUCCCGUCGGCUGUACUGACGCUCAUGCACGAAAGCGUGGGGAGCAAACAGG
rnacentral:rRNA from 1 species